rnacentral:lncRNA from 1 species
AUGUCUAUGCAAUUUCAAGACGAUACAGAUGGUAUACCUCCUUCUGAGGCUGAAAGUAGGAAUGAAAGGCCCCAAAGGAUAAAGCACCCUUCAGCCAAGAUGCUAGCCCAUCUAAUAGAUGAAAAGGAGCUCCUCCAUGUGAGGUUAGGUUUGGCAUGGGAGCGAAUUGUAACAUUGAUGGACAGAAUUGAGAGCUUGGGUAUUACAAGGGUGCCAUCCAUAUUACAGACAGACCUUGAAGAGACCUUCGGUCUCUGGAGGGGUUUGGUGUCUAAGAUAGUCCAGGUCCUCGAGCGCAUUAACGCCAAGGAUUCAGAGUUAGAAAUAGUGAGUGUCUUAGCUGACACUAAUGAGAAAGAAAAUAAGGUGAGGGCAAUUCUAGAUGCCUUGGAAUUUAGUUCUCCACCUGUUAAUCUAAGGUCUGAGCCAAAAGGAAAUCAGUCUUCCUUAUGCAGCCAUGAGACCAAUCUUUUAAAAUCACCUGCUGUGGCACUUAGUCUUAAGUCCAACCGCUCUAGCCAGGUAUCUAAACUAAGGGAGUGUGCAUCAUCUAAACAUAGCCACUCUAGCAAGUCUUCUGCUGCUGGGAGUGCCAUCUCUUCCCUAGCUGCCUUGCACAUUAAGGAGGCUGCACGUCUGGAGCUAAAGAGCAAGGUAGCGGGGGCGGAGGCUGAUGCUAAGGCAGCUGAUCUCACCCUUCCCUUUAAAGAAGAAGAGCAACGACUGCAAAUAGAACAGGCCCGUAGACAAAGCGAAAUGCAAAUAGAACAGGCUCGUAUAGAGAUGCUUAGAAUAAAGAUGGAUGCCGCAGCCAAAAGGGUAAGGGCUGAGACUUUGGCCAAGGCCCUAAUUGAGCCACUCACAGAAGAAAAUGUAAGCCAGUUACCAAUACAGGAUCCUUCUGCCAAAGUGUUUGCGCACCUUGGCAGCAUGAACAGCCAGUUUUCGGAUGAGGAACAGGGAGACUUCUCUCCUUACCCAGAGCAGGGCCCCAAAGUCACUUUUGAAUUUCCUGCAGAGCAGAGCGUCAUAGCGGGGAGCUCACCCUUGCUCGAGCUACCUGUGCCUCCUGCUAAAACCCUAGGUCAGUCAAUCAGGGCCUCAAGGCCGAGUGCUAGUUGGCCCCUACAGACAGCUGCACGGGGAACCAUCGAUUCGUCAGUGGUCGAUGUCAUCCCUCCAAGAGGCCAAAGGUUGACGCAAGGUACACGGUGGGAGUCCACUCCACAACAGCAAACUCCUCAAUUGUUCCCUUCGACGCCAGAGUCCCAGCUUGUCUCCAUCAUCAGAAGCCCCAGAAGAGAUCUUAAGGACAAGGGUGUCGAAAAGUUUUCGGACAAGCCUGAGGAAUUUCUUCUCUGGAAGGCCACCUUCCAGAGAGCAAUCAGAGACUUAAAGUUAUUGCCUGAGGAAGAACUGACUCUUCUGGCUGCAUGGUUGGGCCCAGCCUCAUCCUCACAAGUUAAGAAGAUCUACGCAGCCCACGUAGCCGAUCCCGACAAAGCCCUGGAAAAGGCCUGGGCCAGGUUGCAGCAGAGGUAUGGGGCCAGCACAGAGAUUGAAGCAUCUCUUAUGGACAAGCUCCAAAGGUUCCCAGCUUUAAAACUCAAAGACUUCAAACUCUUGUGGGACCUCAGCGAUCUCCUUGCGGAAUUAGAGUCGGCCAAGGAGAAUCCAGAACUGCCCGGUUUGAAGUGCCUCGAUCAGCACCUGUCCCAGAGGCAGAUCUUGACCAAGCUGCCCUUCACUUUGCAAGAACGCUGGGGACAGGAGGUCUUCAACUACAAGGAGGCCCACUCCCAGGCAUACCCUCCAUUUUCUCAUUUGGUCCAGUUCAUCACCAGGGCAGCCAGAGAAAGGAAUGAUCCACAGACGGGCCUCCCCACCUUAUACCAAGGGACCCAGCCAGAGAAGGCACCUGAAGUGGACAAGAAACCACCUAGAGAGGCCAAUAGACCUGUCAGCGUAAAGGCAGUCGAAACUCAACUCAAGACUGACGAACCCAGGUCGGAGGUAAAAGAGUUGCUUUGCCCUAUUCACCAAAAGCCUCACAGCUUGGCCAACUGCAGGGAGUUUAGUAGAAAGACAUACAAAGAAAGGCAACAGCUAGUUCAAAAGCAGGGAAUCUGCUUUAGAUGCUGUGGAGCAACUCCACACUUUGCAUCCAACUGCAAAGAAAACAUCAAGUGUGAGAAAUGCAACAGCCUCAAGCAUUGCACCGCAAUGCACAACUCCAAUAUCAUCUCCCACCCCAAAGAGAACGCUUCACCAAAAGAAAAGUCAGCAGUCGAAGACACCGACAAGCCAGCCGCACCAGAGAUGCAGGUGGAAGUUUCAGCAGUCGCCUGUACAGAGCUGUGUUCUGACUCGCACCAGUACAGAGUUUGUCAUCCUAUCUGCCUAGCGGAUGUAUAUCCAGCCAAGAGCCCUUGGCUUAGAAAGAGACUCUAUGUGGCCCUGGAUUCACAGAGCGACGCCUCCCUGGCUACUCCAGAGUUCUUCCGCAUGUUUGACCUUAAAACCAAGAUGGUCGACUACACUAUGACUACGUGUGCAGGAAAAAAGAAGUUGCAGGGUCGCAUAGCAUCUGGCUUUGUUGUCUCCUCUUGCGACCAGAAGAGACAGUUCAAGUUGCCAGACCUGAUUGAGUGUUCCUCCAUCCCUCGGAACAGAAAACAAAUUGUAACUAGAGAAGUUGUGGAGGCUCAUCCACAUUUGCGACGGUUAAAGAAUGCUAUACCAGCCUUUCGGCCAGAUGUGGACAUUGCCCUUUUGCUUGGCUCGGACUGCCCGAGCUUGUUCUGUGUGAACGACCAAGUUAAAGGACCUCCAGGUGCACCUAUCGCACAACAAUUGCCAUUAGGCUGGACAGUCAUAGGCCCAGUGUGCAUAAAGAAGAUGCACCCACCAUCGUCGUUGGACUCCAAUCAAGCACAGGUACUUAAAGGUGGACGUCCUACACUUGUGCGCAGUUGCCUAAGUCAUAUCUCGGUCUACUGCCAAGCAAUAACUCCAGAGUAUUCCUCCAUCUUCAAAGUCUCUGAGAGAGACGAAGCCACAGCGCUCUCGAAAGAUGAGCAAAGGUUUUCGGACAUUAUGAAUGCUCAAGUCUCACGAAGUGCAGAGGUGAAAGCCUGCAAAUCAACCACAGAAAUCAAGAUGGGCCAAAGAUCUUGCCUGGAACCACACCGUUUUGAACGUUUUUCGGAGUGGCACAGUCUUCUUAGAGCAGUAGCUAGGCUUAUACAUCGUUUAGCUUGCAAAGAUAGUGAGCCUUUACAGGUCCAGGAUAUGAUAAAGGCUAAGAGCGUCAUAUUCAAGUCAGUACAGAGAUCUGCUUUCAAGCAGGAAAUAGCUAGGCUAGAGCAAGGGCUCAACAUCCCUAAUCAAAGUCUUCUAAAUGAGUUAAACCCAUUUCUAGACAAGGAGGGUAUUUUGAGAGUUGGAGGAAGGUUAGCCAAGGCUAAACUCAAAGUGUGUAUAAAGAACCCUAUCAUUGUACCCCCCAAUAGCCAUAUUGCUUUGUUGUUGGUUCGUCACUACCAUGAGAAAAUCCAUCAUCAAGGUAGAACUCUGACUGAGGCGACCCUUAGAAAUGAAGGCCUGUGGGUGGUAAAUGCUAAAAGUUUGGUCAGCAGUGUUAUUUUUAAGUGUGUCAAAUGUCAGCUGAUGGCUGAGUCACCUCAGGACAGGACUUUGACAGACCCCCCCCUUUUCCCAUGUGGGAAUCGAUGUGUUUGGUCCUUGGGAGGUUGUCACUAG